rnacentral:rRNA from 1 species
GGUUGAUCCUGCCAGUCGUCAUAUGCUUGUCAUGAGGACUAAGCCAUGCAUGUCUAAGUAUAAACUGCUUAGUUUAUUCAGUGAAACUGCGAAUGGCUCAUUAAAUCAGUUAUAGUCCAAGUGGUUGUGGUGUUUUCCUCAUUAAUUGGAUAACCGUGGGAAAUCCAGGGCUAAUACAUGCGAAAAGAGUCGACUAGUGGGGGGAAACCCUCGCUCCGGAAGACUUGAAUUUAUUAGAUUAAAAAACCAAUGGGUGGUGGAAACACCACUCCUCUCCUGGAGAUGAUUCAUAA